GGAGUCUGGUCCGUGUCUCAGUACCAGUGUGGGGGACCUUCCUCUCAGAACCCCUAAGGAUCGAUGGCCAGGUGGGCCGUUACCCCGCCUGCUGCCUAAUCCUACGCAUCCCCAUCCCGCAGCGGCCGAAGCCUUUAGUCCUCAUUAGAUGCCCGCUAAGGACAACAUAGGGCAUUAAUCCGACUUUCGCCGGGCUGUUCCCUACUGCGGGGCAGGUUGGAUACGCGUUACUCACCCGUGCGCCGGUCGCCAUCAGAGUCAGCAAGCUGACUCCAUGCUGCCCCUCGACUUGCAUGUGUUAAGCCUGUAGCUAGCGUUCAUC
rnacentral:rRNA from 1 species